rnacentral:rRNA from 1 species
GACGAACGCUGGCGGCGUGCCUAAUACAUGCAAGUAGAACGCUGAAGAGAGGAGCUUGCUCUUCUUGGAUGAGUUGCGAACGGGUGAGUAACGCGUAGGUAACCUGCCUUGUAGCGGGGGAUAACUAUUGGAAACGAUAGUUAAUACCGCAUAACAAUGAAUGACACAUGUCAUUUAUUUGAAAGGGGCAAUUGCUCCACUACAAGAUGGACCUGCGUUGUAUUAGCUAGUAGGUGAGGUAACGGCUCACCUAGGCGACGAUACAUAGCCGACCUGAGAGGGUGAUCGGCCACACUGGGACUGAGACACGGCCCAGACUCCUACGGGAGGCAGCAGUAGGGAAUCUUCGGCAAUGGGGGCAACCCUGACCGAGCAACGCCGCGUGAGUGAAGAAGGUUUUCGGAUCGUAAAGCUCUGUUGUAAGUCAAGAACGAGUGUGAGAGUGGAAAGUUCACACUGUGACGGUAGCUUACCAGAAAGGGACGGCUAACUACGUGCCAGCAGCCGCGGUAAUACGUAGGUCCCGAGCGUUGUCCGGAUUUAUUGGGCGUAAAGCGAGCGCAGGCGGUUUGAUAAGUCUGAAGUUAAAGGCUGUGGCUCAACCAUAGUUCGCUUUGGAAACUGUCAAACUUGAGUGCAGAAGGGGAGAGUGGAAUUCCAUGUGUAGCGGUGAAAUGCGUAGAUAUAUGGAGGAACACCGGUGGCGAAAGCGGCUCUCUGGUCUGUAACUGACGCUGAGGCUCGAAAGCGUGGGGAGCGAACAGG